rnacentral:sRNA from 1 species
UUAGCGACACUCACUAACUGCUGCUUGGAUUGCUGGCACACCGUCUUGUAGUUGAUAGCCAACUUUAGUCGUCAGUCAGUUGGCUAACAAUAAAGGCCAGCUAAGCGCGAGCGUGUGGUGUGUACGACGGGCAACAUAAUAUUUGUUGGCUGACUGACUGGCGGCUGGCAACGAAAUUGCAGUGCCCUACGGCGGCACAGCACCAACUUCGUUCGUCAUCUCAACCUCCUCGGUUAUAGCUGAUUGAGACGUAUCCAAGAAAAUCGCCAAAGCCAGCCAGCAAAUGUCCCCUUUCGCACACACACACACACACUCACAUCGAGCAACUCAUCAUACUCUUCCUCCAUGACAUGGAGCAUGGGACUAAGACAAAACCAACCUUUGACUAAGGGGAAGCGGCACCAAGCAACAACAAAGCCAUACGUUCUGGCUGCUCGGCCAGGCCAGCUCAACAUGUCAUCAAGUGAUGGUGAUGGUCCACGCUGAAACAAACAACCACAGCAACAACAACAUCACCAUAACAGGAGGACGCAAUGAAAAACAACGCAGCACCGGAUUCAUCAGAUAUCCUUUUGCUGCCUGAUUGUUUUUUUUUUUGUCUUGGCUAUCGCAAUCAUAUUUUUCUCCCUGUCAUUGUCCAACGAUGAAGUACGAGAUUAGCCAAAUCAAACAGAAGCCAAUAUUUUGGAGUGCCAAAAUAUUACAAAACCCAACAAAAGAAACCAAAAGACGGCCAACCAAACAAAAGCUGCAGAAAAAACGUCCACUUUUCAAAUAAUUUUCCAGCAAAUGCCAGUGCUUGGAUAGAAGUUCUGCUAAUAACCGCCCAGUCAGCCGAGUAACGUCCGUCUCGAUCAUACAGCCGGCCACAGCUACAGCCUAACACCUCCGUUAAGGGCCGUUAAAUUGAAUUUGAAACAUUAUUGCUGAGCGGUAAUAGGUGGCAACAAAUAAUGCAAGCACCUGAAAUGAUUGGAAAGUGAACUUUAAGUUAAAAGAAACAAAAAAUAAAAAAAAGUAAACUAAUAAAAAACUAGUGAAAAUAUGUAUGCUAGAAAAAAUUACAUAUUGCAAAAAAACAAAAAAAAAAAAAAAAAACAACAACAACCAUAAUAUAAUUGAAAAGUUUUUGAAAAAAAUGCAUUAGUUGAAAAGUGACUUACAACGUUUAUUAGAAACAAAUGCAAACAUAAUAAAGUGCUUCAUUUUUUAGCAAUUAAAAAACAUAAAAAAGCCAAGCUGACAUUUAAAGCCAUAUUUAAUAUAUGAAAAUAUUAAAAAAUACAUAAAUAAAACUUAAUAAAGUCAAUAAAGUGCAAUAAUAUCUGAACUAAAAUAUAUGCCCAUAAGGCUCAUAUCUUAGUAACAUAUGGAAAAUUAAGAAAUUAUCCAAAAAGAAGCUUCAGAAGGACAUUCAUCUUCUUAUCUUCAUGUAAAUGUUGCUUACUACAUCUAUACCUAGAUCAAAAGUCAAACGGAGUUCAUUAAAAAAUUUUUUGCCAGCCACCAACAAACCCCUCAAAAAGCCAAUAACAACUAUCUAUUCAAACAAAAAAGGCAUGCCAGUACAAAUUUCUAUGAAUUCCACAAGCAAGGCAACGGUUUCCUGUUUAUAUUUCCUUUAGCAUUGCAACAAUGUUGGCAAGUGUUCGUAUAUAGAUGAUACCAGCACAUGUUUACAUUAUAUACAAUGGAAAGCUUCUCAUUCAUUGGCCUGACCAACCAAUGGUAGAAGCCCAAAGGGGAAUUAAAGCUCAAACCACCACCAUUGCCAUCAUUACCACCACCAACUAUGCCUGCAAUACCGGAAAUGCACUGCUAGUACUCGAAGCAAAGUACAACUUCAAUAGCACUUAUACACACAUAACAACACUCAUGGCAUAUAAGCUCAAGAGAGAGCCAUUCGCGGAAGCAGAGCAAGAGAAUGAAAUGAGAACACACAAGAUACUCAUACGCCUGGUGUACGAGUGAACACUCUCAUCGAAAGGAAAUCAAAAGCGUAACACUACUCUCUCACACAAACACAACACAUGCCUCGUAAUAGUUUGUUUUAGGGUUUUUGUUGGUAGCACGAGCUGUUAGAGGAAGGAGGAACUUAAAAGCAAUCUUUUGAUUGGUUUGAAGUGUUAUAUGGAUGGCGUUUUGCCUGGCCAAUUACCUAAAGGUCUGGGCAAAAGAAUCACAAACUUCGAUAAGGACUUGCCCAUGCAGGACCACAUGUGAUGCCAAAAUACAUUAACCAAAUGUCAAAAACGACCAAAGACAAACAUUUGGCACUGAUUUUGGUGUCAUUUGUCCUAAAUAAAAGGCAACAAAGAAACUGAAAAACUAAUAAAAAAAACAGGAUAUGGUUAAGCCAACAGCAACAUUUAUGUCUAGAUAAAGAGAAAUAAUAAUUUCACUUCUUCCCAGGAAAAAUGCAAAUCCAAUGCAAUUUAAACUUUGUAAAUAUUAUUAUAUAAUAUAUAGAGCCUAAAGCAGAAAAAUGUAAUACUUAUAUAUAGAAAAGCUAUGUAGACAUUGUUCUUUUUGAAUUAGCAGUAGCCUUAUGGUAAUAGCCUUCCCUCUCACACACACACACACUCACACCCUAACAUUUACUCUUCAGACAAUUGCAGUUCUAGUAAACCAUACUCACAUCGACCAUCCAUAUGUGGGACGUAAAAUAAA